rnacentral:lncRNA from 1 species
CCUCUAAGCAAAUUUAAGAAGCCCUUUGGCCGGACCUAAUCCACUUGAUCCCAACCCCCACAAGCACAGAUUUCAAAGCAUAAAAAAAUGGAUAGCAUGUGCUGUGCACGUGCUGUGUGGAGGAAUCAGACUCCCAGCGUGAGUCCUAUUUCGCUUGGCUUCCCGACGGAGACGGAAGCCAGGGAGGAGGGACUCCUCCCCUCGGUCCUCUUUAAAGAGAGGCCAACACUCCCCU